rnacentral:rRNA from 1 species
AGAGUUUGAUCCUGGCUCAGAACGAACGCUGGCGGCAGGCCUAACACAUGCAAGUCGAGGGAGAAGGUAUCUUCGGAUACUGGAGACCGGCAGACGGGUGAGUAACACGUGGGAACAUACCUUGUACUGGGGGAUAACAGUUGGAAACGACUGCUAAUACCGCAUACGCCCUUCGGGGGAAAGAUUUAUCGGUAUAAGAUUGGCCCGCGUUAGAUUAGCUAGUUGGUAAGGUAACGGCUUACCAAGGCGACGAUCUAUAGCUGGUUUGAGAGGAUGAUCAGCCACACUGGGACUGAGACACGGCCCAGACUCCUACGGGAGGCAGCAGUGGGGAAUAUUGCGCAAUGGAGGAAACUCUGACGCAGCCAUGCCGCGUGGGCGAUGAAGGUCUUCGGAUUGUAAAGCCCUGUCGAGCGGAACGACGUACCUGACGGUACCGCUGGAGGAAGCCCCGGCCAACUCCGUGCCAGCAGCCGCGGUAAUACGGAGGGGGCGAGCGUUAUUCGGAAUUAUUGGGCGUAAAGGGCGUGUAGGCGGCUUCGUGUGUCUUCUGUGAAAGCCCUCGGCUCAACCGAGGAACUGCAGGAGAAACUGCGGAGCUCGAGUCCGGGAGAGGAGAGCGGAAUUCCCAGUGUAGCGGUGAAAUGCGUAGAUAUUGGGAGGAACACCAGUGGCGAAGGCGGCUCUCUGGACCGGUACUGACGCUGAGACGCGAAAGCUAGGGGAGCGAACGGGAUUAGAUACCCCGGUAGUCCUAGCUGUAAACUCUGAGAACUUGGUGUGGCGGGCGGGUAUCGCCCCCUGCCGCGCCGUAGCUAACGCGUUAAGUUCUCCGCCUGGGGAGUACGGCCGCAAGGCUGAAACUCAAAGGAAUUGACGGGGGCCCGCACAAGCGGUGGAGCAUGUGGUUUAAUUCGACGCAACGCGAAGAACCUUACCGGGGUUUGAACUCGGCCGGCGACCUCUAGAGAUAGGGGGUUCCUUUCGGGGACAGGUGGAGAGGUGCUGCAUGGCUGUCGUCAGCUCGUGUCGUGAGAUGUUGGGUUAAGUCCCGCAACGAGCGCAACCCUUGUCUGUAGUUGCCAUCAGGUAAAGCUGGGCACUCUACGGAGACUGUCGGCGAGAAGCCGGAGGAAGGUGGGGAUGACGUCAAGUCCUCAUGGCCUUUAUGUCCCGGGCUACACACGUGCUACAAUGGGCGGAACAGAGGGCAGCGAACCUGUGAAGGCAAGCGAAUCCCAGAAAUCCGCUCUCAGUUCGGAUUGCAGUCUGCAACUCGACUGCAUGAAGUUGGAAUCGCUAGUAAUCGCGGAUCAGAACGCCGCGGUGAAUACGUUCCCGGGCCUUGUACACACCGCCCGUCACAUCACGAAAGUGGGUUGUACUAGAAGCCGCCGGCCUAACCCUUCGGGGGGGGAGGCGUCGACGGUAUGGCUCAUGAUUGGGGUGAAGUCGUAACAAGGUAACC